CAGUCGCCGCGGUAAUACGUAGGUGGCGAGCGUUGUCCGGAUUUAUUGGGCGUAAAGCGAGCGCAGGCGGUCAGUUAAGUCUGAUGUGAAAGCCCCCGGCUCAACCGGGGAGGGUCAUUGGAAACUGGUUGACUUGAGUGCAGAAGAGGAGAGUGGAAUUCCAUGUGUAGCGAUGAAAUGCGUAGAUAUAUGGAGGAACACCGGUGGCGAAAGCGGCUCUCUGGCUUGUAACUGACGCUGAGGCUCGAAAGCGUGGGGAGCAAACAGGAUUAGAUACCCCUGUAGUCCCUGUCUCUUAUAC
rnacentral:rRNA from 1 species